AGGUCUGACCUGCCCAAUGAUUAUUUUGAAUGGCCGCAGUAUUUUGACUGUGCAAAGGUAGCAUAAUCAUUAGUUUUUUAAUUGAAAGCUGGAAUGAAUGGUUUGAUGAAAAAAUAACUGUCUCAAUAAAAUUUAUUUAGAAUUUUAAUUUUAAGUGAGAAAGCUUAAAUGUUUUAUGAAGACGAGAAGACCCUAUAGAGUUUAAUAAUAUCAUUAUUAAUUAUUUUAGGUUUUAUUUUUAAUAUUAAUAUAAAUAUUAUUUUGUUGGGGUGACGGAAAAAUUUAAGUAACUUUUUAUGUUUUAUAACAUUAAUUUAUGGGUUUUUGAUCCUGAUUUUUUGGAUUAUAAGAUUAAAUUACCUUAGGGAUAACAGCGUAAUUUCUUUGGAGAGUUCUUAUCGAUAGAGAAGUUUGCGA
rnacentral:rRNA from 1 species